AGUAUUUCUGUUUAUUUCUGGCACAGGACCCAACCAAAUCCCCACUGAAGUUUCUAUUGGGUUUAAGGCAAUGAUCUCUGUUUGAAAACUUAUAAUGCUCCUUACUCAGGAUAACUGCUGAUACACUCUCCCUCACUGCUUCUCUUGUCACAUGUGGAUGACACAGUGGGAGACUAUUUUGCCUACCUGAGCUCUAGAGCAGCGCUGUGUGUCUGGCUGAGCCAUAGUCAAUGAAGAGAAUGGCUAGUUCCUUGAGGAUGGUCAGUCAGGCCACUUUAGCCAUCAUUGAAGCUUCUUCACUGGCCAUGGAGAGAUCCCAGAACAUUAACCUUUCCUAGAAGAGAGAUAGAGAUGAAAUGGAAGAAAAAAUGGGCAAAUGUGAUGAAGGUUCAAGCAAGUGAACGAUGUUGGAAGAGCAGAGAAGAAUCUUAGGUGGGAAGAGUCGAUGGAGUUGCCUUAGCUGGACUUUUCUUGUUAUAGCCAUGGACAGAACCAUGUUUCCUGUGAUACGGAGACUGCAUCCAGGGGGAGGCAAUGGCUCAGAGCCAAGAGAGUUCAGUGUUGGUACCCCUCGGCCCCAGGGGGUGAAAUUUGGGAGGGGCUGGUAUCCCAAAGGGGAGAGACUGUGCUCUUUUUGGAAUGGGACAAGGCAUCCUUAAAAGGACAACCCUAGAAGCAGCUCUGGUCCAUGUGCAGUGGUGAGAGCACUGGGCAUGGAAGGAAAGGUGUCACGAUGGCAAAUGUUCCCCGGGCGGUGCCACGAGUGACAUGGAAACACAUGAAGAUUCAACAGUGUUUCCUGGGUAAGCCUAUGGCACAAGAAGGACUCCUCUCCCCUUGAUGAACUGAGAAUUGAUUAUCUAAAGGGUGGUGAUGGACUGAGAGUUGGUGGUCUGAGGGAUGAAUGUAUUGGAAAUUUGGUGGGGGGAGGAAAUAUUUUUGGAAGGUUUUCAUUUUUCCUGUGUGCUCCUUUUUACAUAUAGUUGUAGUGUAGUUAAUAAAGUUUUCUUUUCUUUAUUUCUAA